GAGAAAUCCCAUACAGUAAUUCUACAGAGGGCUGGACCUUCAUUUUGACGUGUCAGGGCAGGAUGCAUGGUUAGCUUGUGAUUGGCAGCUGCUGCAGAGAUGUGUGGUCGAUCAGACAGUGAAUGUCUUAAACUUUUUCACGCUCAAGAAAGCAAUGGCUUUUCACUCUUGGUAUUUCACCACGUCAUGAGAAAAUAAAGGAGCAAGACGCUCAUUUCCUGGCUCAAGGGAAAAUACCUGA